UCCCUGAGGCAGUGGCGACAGCCGCGGCGAGAGGAUGAACAACAAGUUCGACGCUUUGAAAGAUGAUGACAGUGGGGACCAUGAUCAGAAUGAAGAAAACAGCACACAGAAAGAUGGUGAGAAGGAAAAAACGGAACGAGACAAGAAUCAGAGCAGUAGCAAGAGAAAGGCUGUUGUUCCUGGACCAGCAGAGCAUCCCCUGCAGAGCAACUACACUUUUUGGUACUCCAGGAGAACCCCCGGCCGUCCCACUAGCUCACAGAGCUAUGAACAGAAUAUCAAACAGAUUGGCACCUUUGCCUCUGUGGAGCAGUUCUGGAGGUUUUAUAGCCACAUGGUAAGUCCCGGGGACCUGAUAGGCCACAGUGACUUCCAUCUCUUCAAAGAAGGAAUUAAACCCAUGUGGGAGGAUGAUGCAAAUAAAAAUGGUGGCAAGUGGAUUAUUCGGCUGCGGAAGGGCUUAGCCUCCCGUUGCUGGGAGAAUCUCAUUUUGGCCAUGCUGGGGGAACAGUUCAUGGUUGGGGAGGAGAUCUGUGGGGCUGUGGUGUCUGUCCGCUUUCAGGAGGACAUUAUUUCAAUAUGGAAUAAGACUGCCAGUGACCAAGCAACCACAGCCCGAAUCCAGGACACACUUCGGCGAGUGCUUAACCUACCUCCCAACACCAUUAUGGAAUACAAAACUCACACCGACAGCAUCAAGGACAAUUCAAGCUUUCGAAAUACAAAAAUCACAUUGUGAAAGUACACAAGCUGGCAAUAAUCCUUUUCUGUAUGUGUGUGUUUGUCCGAAAUGGAUGGGAGGCCUCCAGCCAGUCCUUCCAUUGCUCACUGAAGGGACGUCCCUGAGCCGUGUGCUCCCCUUUUGCACUCAUUCCUGGAGGACGGAUUCCACUAGACACCCUCCAGCAUCGCUGACUUUAUAAGGCGGAAAAACGGAAAACGUGACUUUGUAAUAGACAAACAUUGUUUUUUAAUGGGGUUCCAUGGGGGGCGUUCAGCCUUUCUGUUCGCUGUCUCCUGUCCAGAUGCCUCUUGGGCAUCCUGUUGUUCUCUUCCCGUGCUGUACGAAGGGUACCAUGGCCACGUGUAGAUGCCAGAGCUGUUGAUGAGAGUUACCAGUAUUAUGAAUGUCUGUGCAUCCAGGAAAAGCUUUCUGUUGGAGAGUCCCAGAAUAGCUGUAAAUGCUCUCUUCUAGCUAUGCCAUUAAAUUAUUGGGACACUUUGUUUCUUUC